UACGGGGGGGGCAAGCGUUGUUCGGAAUUACUGGGCGUAAAGGGCUCGUAGGUGGCCAACUAAGUCAGACGUGAAAUCCCUCAGCUUAACUGGGGAACUGCGUCUGAUACUGGAUGGCUUGAGAUUGGGAGAGGGAUGCGGAAUUCCAGGUGUAGCGGUGAAAUGCGUAGAUAUCGGGAGGAACACCAGUGGCGAAAGCGGCUUCCUGGCCCAUUCUUGACGCUGAGGCGCGAAAGCUAGGGGAGCAAACGGG
rnacentral:rRNA from 1 species